CAGCCCAAUUUAAAAAAUGGAUUACAAAUGAUUACAAAUAAGCAUAUGAAAAGGUUCUCAACCAGCAACAGUAAUCAUUAGAGAUAUGCAAGUCAAAACUACAGUGAGUUACCACUAUAACCUUAUAAAGAAUGGCAAAAUUCUUAAAAAUCAAAACCUACAUAGAAAGCACUCACCAAGAUGUAGAGCAUCUGGAACUCUCACAUGUUGGUAAGAAUGCAAAAUGACAUAGACAUUUCAUUUACAACUACUGAAAACAAAAAACAACCAAGAUAUCCUUUGAUAGGUGAACAGAUAAGCCAUGUUGCAUUUGUUCCAUUCUUGCAGUGGAAUACCACUGUGCAAUAUAAAGAUAUGAACUAAUAAGUCAUGUAACAACAUGGCUGAAACUCAAGUAUACCUUUCUAGGCAAUGAAAUAAACCAGAUGAAAAUGUGUAUGUGUUAUGUGAUUCAAUCUCUAGGACAGUCUAGAAAAAGCAGAAACUACAGGACCAGAAAUAAAUUAAUGCUAGUGGUUCGGGGCAGGAGUACUUCAAUACCGUGGUGGUGGAUGCACAACAAGGCAUUUGUCAAAGCUCACAGAACUGUAACUCUCCAAGUGAAUUUUCCUAUGUAUGAAUUGAGAAUCAACCAGAAAGUUGGAGGUUCCUAGGAGGAAAGCACAUCCUGAUGAGUGGAUUAUAACUAUGCUACAAAUGUAUGAUGGAGCACUGAAGAGACAGGUGGAAAAGAGGCUGGCUUCCUGUUGCUUUCAAAAACAAUAUUUUAACUGGACACUGAGUAGCAAAAGACAAAAUAUAUUUACUGACUUAAACGUUAGAUACUUUAAGGAGCCAGAGCAACACUUACCACCCUUUGAAUAUGGGCUGAAGUUAAAUGAUUUGCUUCUAAGGACUAAACUACAGAAAGGGAAAAAUAGCUCAGUUACAAUGGAGGAACGUGACCCCCACCACCUUCACCACAUGGAUGUGAUACAAUGAGAAAAACAUCCUGUCUGUGUGGCAAUCUUCUCCGGACCUAUAACCUUAGAAUAAUCCUGGGAAAAUUUAGACAAACCCAAACUGAGCAACACUGAUAACUGACCAGCAUUCUUCAAAAGUGUCAGCCUCAUAAAAAAUAAGACUGAGAAGCUGUCAUAGGUCACAGAAGAUUAACUCUGCUACCAUAAAAGUAAUGAUGGAUAGGGAUGGGAUCCUGGAUCAAUAAAAGGACAUUAGUAGUUAAACUGAGGAAAUAAGCGUUGCUUGAUAGAGUUGUCUUAAUGUUAAUUUUCUAGUCUUAGUCAAUAUACCAAGGUUAUACAAGAUGUUAACAUUAAGGGAAGCUGGUUAACACCAAAGAAUCUUAAGUAUUUAAAGAUAAUGUGAAAACUAUGAAGAACAUUAUAAAACUUUAAUCAGAGACAUUGAAGACAAAUAAUUGGAGAAAUAUGCCUUUAUUGCACUGUCUAGAAGAUUCAAUACAAAAAAAAUUCUCCUUAAAACUUAAAAAAUCCCAAAGUUUGUAUAUGACCACUUUGCAAGAUGGUUCUAAAAUUUAUUUUGAAGUGUAAAAGGCUAACAAUUGGUAAUAUUCAAGAAGAGAGUGGAAUAUUGUUUUACUAAACAUUCUUUUUCUAAAGCAGUUGUCAUGAAGAAUGUGGGGCAGAUGCAAGGAGAGACUGAGGUCAGUUGGACACGACUGAGCGUUGGGAGAUAGUCCCCACGUAUGGACACUUGCACUGUAUCAGUGGUCACCUGUGUAUUACUGAAAGAGGAUAGACUUUUCAAUAAAAUGCUUAGGAGCAAUUGCAUAUGCACAUGGGAAAAACGUUACAUUGGACCCUUAAUUUCCUCCACCCACACAUCAAAAACUCAUUCUUGGCAUUCCAGGGGAUUGAAGGCCUAGUUAUGAAAAGCAAAACUAUAAAGCCUAUAUGACUGAAUAUAGAAUAUCUUCAUAACCGUGGGAUUAGGAAGAAUUUUUUAAAACACAAAAGUAAUAGCCAUAAAGGAAAAGAUUAAUUAAUUUGAUUGCAGUAGAGUCAAGACCUAAUAAUCAAAUUACAUUGUAAAGUGUGAAAAGACAACUACAAAAGAAAAAUAUCUACAAAAUAUAAAGAACUCCUGCAAAUCAAUAAGAAAAAUAUAGCGGAGCUAAUUAAGAAUGAGCAACAGAAAAAAAUAGCACAUCAUAAAAGUGGAAUCAAAAAGGCUGAUGAUCAUGUGGAAAGGUGUUGUGCCUGACUAGCAAUCAAGGAAAUGUAAAUAAACUCAGGAGCUCAUGGUCCAUGGGGACCAGUGGCAGACUUCCAGCAGGAAACUGCAUAGACAUUACUUAGUUGCAGCCGGGAGAAGGGCUCUGAGUAAAGGGCUCUGUGCCCAUGACAUCCUUGGAGAGACCAGUCAAGGACUGGUAAGCCUCGAAGAAUGUGUGCACAUUCAGAGGCCCACAGGUCUGGAACCUGGUGGGAGCAUUUUACCGCCCCCAUUUUACAGGCUCGGGGCUGAGAUUCAAGUACCCUGGGUUAUAUUAUACAGUUGUCAAGUGAAAGAGCUAAAACUUCAUCCAGGAUUCAAAUGUUCUUUUGGAAAAUAAGAAAAAGAACACAAAUACAUAUUUCAAUGUCUGCAUCACUUGUAUACAGAAUGAAGGAGUGGCUGCAAGAGGGGCCCUGCUUUACAAACACCCAGGAUGAUAAGUGCCAUCUCCAAAGCCCGAGGGCCAAGGCUGAGCCACUCGACCCCUGAGAAAGGCCCUGUGCUGGUGUUUUAGGAAAUUAAAACGUGCACAUCAGUUGGCUGUUCAGAGCAGGUGGGGCUUGCACCUGCCAGAGAGGAAUGUGUGCUCUUUGGUUUAAUCCUGGGAACAGCACAAGGGGCCCUGCAACAAGGGUCAGUGAGGGGGGCUCCACAGGGUUGUUUUUCCAAAUCAAAAGGAGAGGCUGCUAUCUGCUAGGCAUGUGUGUUGGUGAAUGUUGGGUGUGCUUCCUCCACAAAGACACAAAAGACCAGGGCUGCCACCUCCUCUUCAAUUUGACCUGGAGCCACAGCCACUGCAGAAUUCUAGAAGACUGUUGAGGGGUUGGGGGGCAGGGACACAUCUCUUCCUAGAUACAGUGGUGCUGUUCCUUUUAGUCAAAGGCUUGGGACAAGUGCUGUACUCCCACUUCUCCCACUUCUGAGGAGCCCAGUUUUGGUCCAUCACAAUGAUGUGAAAAGAUAGCCCAGCUGCAAAGCAAGUGGAAACCAUGGUGAAUGUGAAAGGGCAGCUUAUCUGGACACCCAGACCCUGCAGAGGGCAAUGGAGUAAUGCCAGGUGUUCUCUGUUCAACUAGCCAGAGUGCCUGGCUCUGGGGAACAAGCACUGUUUCCUGGUGACAAUGAAGUCACACUUUUCUAAGGCAGUCCCAGUUUUUGAUGCUUUCAUUCCUUGGCUGCCUGUGCUUUGUCAAGGCCAGAAUCUGCGCCUAAGUUUUCAGGGCAGAACAAAACAAUUUUGUUUUCUAGGAAAAUGGGAGGUCUGGGGUGGUGAAUGCAGCAUCAGGCGUGGCGACUACCCCAGCUGGGGCCGCCAGCUGCCAAAUCUCACCCUGUCUCAAGAGAACCGGAACCAGACUCAGCACAGCAUCUUCCUUUCCAGCCAGUAGACCUGCUCAGUAGGGUUAUUUGCAUUUUAUUUUACAAAAUAUAACCACAGAAAAAAAGACUGGAAGGAAAUAGAUAAAAAUGUUAAUUGUGUUUGUCCUUGGGUGAAGGGACUUUGGGUGAUUUUUAUUUCCUUCCUUAUCAUGUCUACGUUUUCAAUUUUGAAUGCUAUUUUCAAAAGUCAGAAAACAAUAAUUCUUGAAAAUCUCGCUUAUCUGUGCCUUGUUCUCAUGUGCCCUGCCAUAUGUCAUUUUUUAGUUGACAGAAUAUAUGAGUGUCCCACAUCCCUCCCUUCUUCAUUAAGUUGUUCAUUUGGCUGGAUUACACAGAACCCUUCUGCCGUGAAGUUCUUCAAGUAUUUCCAUUCCAAUAGCAUGUGGCUUCACUUUAUCUGCAAUGAGCACUCACUCACUCCUUGCUUAUACCAAGUCAGCGUUCAAGUGCCAGCUAAGGGCCCAGUUCACCCCUGCUGCCCACUGCCCUCUGCUGAAUGUUAUUGGUAUCCAUGCUCUUCCUUGUACCUUCACCCAGCUGCUCAGCCUCUGUCCUACUCCUGAUUAAAAUCCUGCUUAAUCUCCCAGGUGUUACCCAAGCCUUUCCCGCUACAACCUUCCCAUGAUUGCUGCCUCCUCUGGAUAACUGUGGGGCUUACAUUUACCUGACCCUCAGCACAGGAACCUUGCAUUCUGCCUCCCCCACAUCCCUCCUGUGCCUGGCAUAAGCAAGACUGCUGAGCCAGCUCACCCCUCUGGAUAAACACAAGCUGCCCCUUUCCUUCCCAAGGAGUGGCCUCUUUUCUGGCUUUGUCAAGAAAUCUCCCCCUCUUGGUGGAUUCACCAAAGCCUUGUGGAUACUGCACUGUGAAGAGAACUGUUCCCUAGGGCAUCUGGACAGCUGCAGCCAGGCUCUGCGUGACAUUGCUGAGCUGAAGCCCCACAGCCUGUGCCAGCUGCCAUGCCCAACUCAUAGACCUUGAGCCAGAGGAACCCCGCCACCACCUGUGUCUCAUCUCAGAGGCGAGAAGUAAGGGACACGGACAGAAAGUGAAAAAGCCAUUCCCACAACAGCUGCCAGGAACAAGGCGAGGAGUGGAGUGAAAAUGUAUAUUCACAGCUGGCACCCAGUUCCGCUUAGGAAAAUACCUUGCUUGAGUGGACACCUGUUGUUUUUGCCUGCCCAGCAGGCAAGACUGGCUUUUGAAAAGAGCUUCUCGAAUCUUCUUUUAAGGGGUUUCCCCCUUUUCAAUUCCUAGCGUUCAAGGUUCAGGUACGCACUGGCCAACUUUAGAGGGGGUGAUGCAGCCCCCACCUUGGACACCAGAAGUGCAGUUGCACAUUGGAGGACAGUUGGUAUCCUUUUUGGGGGCAAUGAUAGCCUGGCCCAGAGUAUGGCAGGAAUUAUGAGAAAAGAGAUGGCCUUUUACUGCUGGUUUGCUGACUUGGUGUAUACAAGCUGAUGGUAAUCUUGUCUGUAUUCGCAAGUGGCUGCCAGAGGAUAUAGCUAUGUCAUGGGGACAAUGGAUAGUGAGGGAGAAAACAAAAGAAUGAACUGGUUGGAAGAGGAGGAGAGCAAAAUCUUCACAACUCCGGGGUCCAGCUGUGUCUGGAACAGCUGGGUCCAGAUGUGUGAGCCAAAAAAUGUUCCUUUUGUCCUUAAGCUAGUUUGAGUUUGGGGUUCCAUCAUCUGUUACCAAGAGAGUCUUCAGGAAUGUGUGUGACAAACUUGGGGGUAACAUGUGAGUUUGAGAUGUGGCUGGGAGGGGGAGGUCAAGGUUACAACAGAGCUAAACUCCUCCAGACAGCCCUUGCUGGGCUUUGCAGGGCGGAAGGCAGGGAGGAAAAGGCUGGCGGGAAAGAAGUUGGCCUGAGGCCUGGGCUGCAACCCUGCAAAGCCAGGGAGUUCUGGGAAAGGGGCUCCCUAAGGCUGGGUGUUUACUUUCUACUGUUGUAAUGUAAAUCCCCAUAACUUCAGUGAGCCCCUUUUUACACUCUUGUAUAAGUGGGUGUGUGGAGCAAGUUGUGGAGCAUGUUGGGGUUUACAUUUAGUCAAAGGUGUUCCAGAAUAGACUGGACUUGAGAAUGAAUAAUAUGAGAGUCGACAGUGAUAUGAGAGUCGAAGACAACCUCUGGAAAUCCCUGUAAUGAUGCUGGGCUCUGUGUAAUCCUUGAGUUUCAAUUAAUGGGUACCCUUGUCCUCCGAAUGCAUCCCUUCACAACAAACACAGUAGAGUGUGAAUAGUAGCGGUGCUGAGCAGGACAAACAACAGCCCUGAGUGUGCCCUGGAAAUAGAAAGAACAACACAGCUGCCCACAAAACAAAAUCAAUUCACCCAGGUCUCCGAGCUGCAGGAAGUCACUGUCCAGGUCUCCCAAGACACAUUUCCAAGGGAAGGUUCCAGGCAGCAAGAGCAGCCCCAGGAAACUUUAAUAUACAAUGGAAUCUGGGUUAAGCACUAUCUUCUCCAAGAGUUGAGCUCACAGGACAUUCCCCAGAAACCUCUGGAGAGGUGGGGAGGAAAGUUUCUGGAGGUCUUUGGAUGAAGAAAACAAAAAAGUGGCCUUGAUUUUCAAGGCGAAAUUACACAGGAAGAAAAAAAUGUUUUUAAUCUAAUUAAGAGCGAUCUUUUCACCUUCAUCACAACAUCACGGAAAUGUGCCAGUUCUUAACUUCACACAAUAAUCAAAGCAAUUAGUGAGGGAGAAGCCUUGGAAACUGGUGCAGAUGUUCUCAGAAUGUUUAAUGGGGAAAUGAGUUGCAGGCCUCGGUCUCAGCAUCCGGCUCCAGGCCCUGGCUACCAAAUCCAGACAUCUGCUGGGGCCCCACCCCCAGGCCCCGAGGGCGCGGGCUUGAGAAACACAGGUCCCUUCCCAGGCUGCCUCCAGCCAGGCCAGAUCUGGGGCUGAAAGGCUCCCCAUGCUCAAGCCAGAGCCUGGACACAGUCAGAGCCACCCCAGAGCUGGGGGGAGGCUUAACGUCAAAAUUAUGUUAACAACUGAUGUCAAAAGUAAUCAACUCAGCCCUGUUCCCCCAUCCUUGCUGGCUGCAGGAGCGCUGUGAACAAGAGGAGGGCAAGAGGCCCCAGAGGUACCUCUGCAAAGAACCCCUCAUCAUGAAUACCACUGCAUGUAAUGAUAUAGUAGUAUCUGCUUAGUAUGCCUUGUGGGCCUAAUUCUAUUGCUGGACCUGUUUGGUCUAAGAAUAAAACUGGGCAAUCCUUGAAUAAUUGCCAGUAAUCAGAAAACUUGUACAAGUGUGGGUAGUCCUUUGGAAAUAGCCAGUUCCAAAAAGGAGAAGGGUACAUGGCUAAUGUUAAACGGCUGUAGGAGAGAUAGAGACCUUGGGCAGGCAGUUUUAGAAUGGCAUGUACUAGGAAUAUGGAGGUGAGGAAAAUAUUGAUCCUGUUCUCAGGGAUGCAGGCAUCAUUGGGUCCUACCUGUGUACCACCUGCAGUAUGCACAUCCUUCACACUUAAGGAUUCUCAAUGUACAACUCCCAGAUACACUAAUGAGCAUCAAACCUGACAUCAGGGCUGCUUAACUGUGCAUGUGGCAAGAGGGAUGGGAAAUGAAUCCUCAGGAAAAAUAUUCAGUGGUGAUAAAUAACCAGUUUCCUGCAUCUCUGGCAAAAGUAAAGCAUGCUCUCUACAGAUACCCAGCUGCCUACCGCGGAGUUCUUUCUUGGUGACUGGCAUGGCAUUCCUGACUUAGGCAUUACAUCCAUGGAAACUGACCCAAGACAAUGUGAGAGGAAGCUGCUGAAGCAUUUAAGAAAGGAAGCAGUAAGACACACUGUAUAUUUAAAGAAUCCUCUGGGGAUACUGUGGAAGUUGAGAGACCAUUGAAGAGGAAAGCAACAACCCAGGAAGAGAAAUGAUGGUGACAUUUACAAGACAGGUCUGUGAGGAGGUUAUGAAAGGGCAAAUCCAAAGAAUUGACAAAGCUUGCGAGGUAUUUGACAGGGGCAAUAAAUUUUUAAAAAUGCAUUAUUUGAAAAAGACUGACGGAGGUUUGGAGAACAAUAGCAUGCUGCUUCUCUCACUCUGACUUCAUAUCUCCCCAUAUACCUUCCUAAAA